rnacentral:rRNA from 1 species
AACGAACGCGGGCGGCGCGUCUUAAGCAUGCAAGUCGAACGGUAAGGGAGAGCUUGCUCUCCCCUAGAGUGGCGGACUGGUGAGUAACGCGUGGGUGACCUGCCCUGAAGAUGGGGAUAGCUAGUAGAAAUAUUAGAUAAUACCGAAUGUGCUCAUUUACAUAAAGGUAAAUGAGGAAAGGAGCUACGGCUCCGCUUCAGGAUGGGCCCGCGUCCCAUUAGCUGGUUGGUGAGGUAAAGGCCCACCAAGGCAACGAUGGGUAUCCGGCCUGAGAGGGUGAACGGACACAUUGGGACUGAGAUACGGCCCAAACUCCUACGGGAGGCAGCAGCUAAGAAUCUUCCGCAAUGGACGAAAGUCUGACGGAGCGACGCCGUGUGAAUGAAGAAGGCCGAAAGGUUGUAAAAUUCUUUUGCAGAUGAAGAAUAAGAAGAAGAGGGAAUGCUUCUUUGAUGACGGUAGUCAUGCGAAUAAGCCCCGGCUAAUUACGUGCCAGCAGCCGCGGUAACACGUAAGGGGCGAGCGUUGUUCGGAAUUAUUGGGCGUAAAGGGUAUGUAGGCGGUUAGGUAAGCCUGGUGUGAAAUCUACGAGCUCAACUCGUAAACUGCAUUGGGUACUGCUUGACUUGAAUCACGGAGGGGAAACCGGAAUUCCAAGUGUAGGGGUGGAAUCUGUAGAUAUUUGGAAGAACACCGGUGGCGAAGGCGGGUUUCUGGCCGAUGAUUGACGCUGAUAUACGAAGGUGCGGGGAGCAAACAGG